GGAGGCUCUGAGACAGACAUUAGCAUGGAGGAGGUUUACUAGUGGGAGAUGAGAGAGGGAAGCUGGAUCCAGAAGACAGAAAGGUUAAGUUGCAAUGUGGUCCUGCUGAAGCUUUAGCUGACCGCCAGCGCAGAAGAAGAGAACUUCCAGUCAUGUUCCGGUGUCGGAAGAACAGUGGAAGACAGAGGGAAAGAGGAGAGGACCCAAAACAUGGAGUGGUAGGAGGAUCCUGAGCUCACCUCAUCCCAUGGACACACUGAGGCAACAGCUAUGCCUGUACAACUUACUCUGAAGAUGACUUGAAGACUGGCAGAGCACACCUUCCACAGCUGGUCACAGAAGGCCACACUGAAAAGGGUUAAGAUGAAAACAUAGAGAAAAAUUUCCCCUGUGGCAGUGACACAUCUAUGUG